CUUGCACAGUGGAUUAGUGGCGAACGGGUGAGUAACACGUGAGUAACCUGCCCUCCACUUUGGGAUAACUCCGAGAAAUCGGGGCUAAUACUGGAUAUGACUAUGGCCCGCAUGGGUUGUGGUGGAAAGUUUUUCGGUGGGGGAUGGGCUCGCGGCCUAUCAGUUUGUUGGUGAGGUAGUGGCUCACCAAGGCGAUGACGGGUAGCCGGCCUGAGAGGGCGACCGGCCACACUGGGACUGAGACACGGCCCAGACUCCUACGGGAGGCAGCAGUGGGGAAUAUUGCACAAUGGGCGAAAGCCUGAUGCAGCGACGCCGCGUGGGGGAUGACGGCCUUCGGGUUGUAAACCUCUUUCAGCAAGGAAGAAGCGAAAGUGACGGUACUUGCAGAAGAAGCGCCGGCUAACUACGUGCCAGCAGCCGCGGUAAUACGUAGGGCGCAAGCGUUGUCCGGAAUUAUUGGGCGUAAAGGGCUUGUAGGUGGCUUGUCGCGUCUGCCGUG
rnacentral:rRNA from 1 species